UCUCUCUCAAUCACUCCCUCACCAAACCCUAGUAACCUGAGUCGCCCUCAUAAACUCUGAUCGAAUUCACCGGCGGCUAUGACGGCAUUGCUCCAAUGAGCCCCAAAAUCACACCCUGGGCUGAUUUCUUCCUCCUCUUUCCACUUCUAGUAUUGGUUUCCCUCAUAUUCUCAUCAAAAGUUUCAAGUAUCAAAUCGAUAUUUUCGGCAAAAACACGAUUUUGUACGACGCCACUCAAACUCGCACCAUAUACUUCCCUCACUCUCCUCUACCUAAAACCAUAAGCUAUUACUCCCAAAUU
rnacentral:lncRNA from 1 species